rnacentral:rRNA from 1 species
GACGAACGCUGGCGGCGUGCCUAAUACAUGCAAGUCGAACGCUGAAGAGAGGAGCUUGCUCUUCUUGGAUGAGUUGCGAACGGGUGAGUAACGCGUAGGUAACCUGCCUUGUAGCGGGGGAUAACUAUUGGAAACGAUAGCUAAUACCGCAUAACAAUGGAUGACACAUGUCCUUUAUUUGAAAGGGGCAAUUGCUCCACUACAAGAUGGACCUGCGUUGUAUUAGCUAGUAGGUGAGGUAACGGCUCAACUAGGCGACGAUACAUUGCCGGCCUGAGAGGGUGAACGGCCAAACUGGGACUGGAAAACGGGCCAGACUCCCUAGGGGGGCAGCAAGAGGGGAUCUUCGGCCAUGGGGGGAACGCUGAACGAGGAAAGGCGGGGGGGGGAAGGAGGGUCUCGGAUCGGAAAGGUCCGUUGUUCGUGAAGAAAGAGUGUGAGAGUGGAAAGUUCACACUGUGACGGUAGCUGACCAGAAAGGAACGGCUAACUACGUG